rnacentral:rRNA from 1 species
UACAGAGGGUGCGAGCGUUGUCCGGAAUCACUGGGCGUAAAGGGUGCGUAGGUGGCCAGGUAAGCGUGUGGUGAAAGUCCGGGGCUCAACCCCGGAUCUGCCGUGCGAACUGCCUAGCUUGAGCAAUGUAGAGGCAGGUGGAAUUUCGGGUGUAGCGGUGGAAUGCGUAGAUAUCCGAAAGAACACCAGUGGCGAAGGCGGCCUGCUGGGCAUUUGCUGACACUGAGGCACGACAGCGUGGGGAGCAAACAGG